rnacentral:rRNA from 1 species
UACGAAGGGGGCUAGCGUUGCUCGGAAUCACUGGGCGUAAAGGGUGCGUAGGCGGGUCUUUAAGUCAGGGGUGAAAUCCUGGAGCUCAACUCCAGAACUGCCUUCGAUACUGGGAGUCUUCGAGUUCGGGAGAGGUGAGUGGAACUGCGAGUGUAGAGGUGAAAUUCGUAGAUAUUCGCAAGAACACCAGUGGCGAAGGCGGCUCACUGGCCCGAUACUGACGCUGAGGUGCGAAAGCGUGGGGAGCAAACAGG